rnacentral:tmRNA from 1 species
AGUAGAUUGCUAGCUUAAUUCCACUACAAGGUAGAGGAACGAGACGUCGCUCCAAGGAUGUUGUUCCGAAUCUGAGGAUCCAGCGGCGCAGGUUAAAUCGGGAAUAGUCUGUAUGGGCUCUGACGUAUAGAUGAAAUUUAGGAGCUAAGGCAUCAGUUGGUGGUCCAGGUCUUGCUGCUGCUCGAAAACUAAAGGCUGGAAUAAGCGUGUAGAAAGCGUAUGGUUUCCCUGUUUGGACGAGGGUUCGACUCCCUCCAGCUCCACAA